rfam:Xenopus laevis strain J chromosome 1L, whole genome shotgun sequence.
UGGAGGCAUGAGAAGGUGGGGUAGUUGUUGCCAUACUGCUUCCUACUGGUUAUAUCCUCCUACAGUAUCAAUGCGCCGGCUGCGCGGAUUCCUACGCACGUUAGUGAACCCUGCAGUCUCCGCACUAACACUUU